UUAAAAUAAAGCGAUUAUAUUGCAUUCAGUUUCGGCCUGAAGUUAGAACUUUUUUCUAUUUUUUAAU
rnacentral:tRNA from 1 species